GCCCGCCUGAACCUUGCUGUUGCUGCUGGAAACCAAAGGAGAAGACCAAGGGCUUCAGUCUCAGGCAGAGGGCCUGUAAUCUGAGUCUUGCCACCCAGUGCUGAAGCUCUCGAGCUAUGGCCCUGGGUGGUGGGGCUUGGGUUUCGGCUUCUGUCCCAGGCCACAGUAAGUCUAAGCCAGCCCUGGCAACCCCAUUAAAACGGGGUCAUGACUCACAGUUUGAGAACCACUGGUCUAGUGUUUCCAGCCAGUGCUGAGAUUCCUGUCAGGUUUUGGAGAAUAACCCCCAGCCUCCCUGCCUGGCACAGAUUCCCUGGGGCUGCUGGAUUCUUGCCGUUCAUUGUGGCUCCAAGGCAUGGGGAGGAAGCCUGGCAAAGCCAAUCUUUAGGAGCCAACAAAGCCCAGCUCCCUGGGGUCUGCAGGACUCAGAGGAUUGGGCCAUUUCCUUCCAGUUUGCUGGCAUGAAUGCAGCCCAGACUGCAGGCUUUGUGGCCUGUGUGAAGAGCUGUGGGAGGGGGUGUCAGGCUAGUCCCCUAAGGCCUGAAAGCUGAAUCUACUUUUUAAAAACUCCAUCUUAAGCGUGGGUUGCAGAGCCUGCCCCGUGGGUACAGCCACUGCUUGGGCCCUGCUCUGGGCUCUUUGCUGGCCAGCUCUAAAUCCCAGGCUACAUUGUACUGCCCUCGGCAGCAUCUUCCCAGCUCGAAUGUUCCCUGUGCAGAUGCCACCGGGCUAAAGUGUUCCAGCUGUGUGGCCGUGGGAUGGGGCUGCUUUCUCACCCUGCCUCAAUGUCUCCCACCCCACUCCCAUGCUGUUCCAGGGCAGCUUGUUUCAUCACAUGGCUGGUCCCUGUUUGUCCCUGCCCCUCAAGCACAGCACUGUGGGGUGGAUGGGCCCCUUCCCUUGGAAUGCAGCCGCAGCUUCAAUGCCCCUCUGUGAGUCAUGCUGUGACCCUGGUGAGGUGUCUGGGGUUUAAUUCCACCCAGAGUCUCUCUUGCGGUCCCAGUGCCUGUCCCUUUUGUUACUGAAGACACAGGCUGUGCUGGUGCCUGCCUCCCCAAAGCUAGGGCAGGGUACCAGGGCCCUGCCUGCUCCUGAUGAAGUUGUGUCCAAGCUCCCAUUGAAUCAAGCCCACAUGCUCUGCUGCAUUGCACGAGCCCUUCCCCAGGCUUGCUCUGCGGAAUGCGUGUGCACCCCUGUACUGACUUGCCCAGUCCGGAAGGGCCCUUCCAGCCCACUGGGAUUGGAGCCUGGCAGGUCCCAGAGUCUGAUUUGAAAGGAAUUUCCAGACCAAUUGGGAUACAGGCCCAGGUCCUGGCAAGACUCUGUGGACUCCAGAGCGGCUGGGGCGUGUCCCAUUGGCACCUGGAGGGAGUGGAUAUCCUUGCUUUGUGGCUGCCAGGGCAGAGCUCUGAUGGCUAUGCAGUGUUUUGUGCAAUGGACAAACCUUACUAACCUGCUGCCACCCAAGGAAGGGGCUGAGGAGUCACUCACUGAGCAUUCCCUGUUCCCAGGAGCAGGUGAGAAUGUUCCUCCGGUCCGUGUAUCAUGGAUACCUUCAGGCUGCUCCCAAUCUGUGUCUGCAGCGGGGCCUGGGAGUUAGCCAGGCCUCCUGAGCCUGUAAUCUCUGAAGUGCUAAGCAGGACCAGUGCAGCUUGCCUCCCAGGAACAGCCAGGUGCUUCAGGGCAGUAAGGGAUGUUCUCCCUUUGCAUGCUGGUACCACGUGUUGGUCUAAUUCUCCAUGGCAACAGCACAGGUCCCUCAUGUGACCUGUGACCCUGGCAACUGCUUCCUUGACUCGUCCCUAGCCUCUGCGCCUGGGAGCUGCUGCUGCGGCAUGGGCAGCGUGGGCAGCCUGGUGGAGAAACAGGACUUGACGCCUGUGGAGCUGAGGGCAGUGCUGGGGGGCUCGCGGGGGUUUCGGCAGCCGGACGGCCUGCUCCGGAAGGGCCCGAGCCAGCGGGAGCUCUUCAGGCUACUGCACGGCGCCAGGAAGGAGUCCCGGGCCGAGAGGAAGCACCAGGCGCCGGGGCCAUCUCGGGACUACGAGAGCGACCGUGAGAACCAGUCCCCUGACCGCUACUCCCGUGAGCACCACCGGGGGGCAGACUUCUCCAAGAGCUCGCUGCCGGAGCGGGGCCGCUUUGACAAGUGUCGGAUCAGGCCAUCGGCCUUCAAGGCAGUGGCUGGGAAAGGCCUGGUGUCCAUGCAGGGCCUGGCCUCAUCCAAAGGGCAGAAGCUGUCGAAGAGCAACGGGAGCCUGCACACCCUCCUGUCCCAGGGCAGCACCAGCACCGGUACCUCCUCCCAGCAUGGCCCCCUGCGCACCCACCUGCUGCACACCAUCAGCUUAGACGAGGCCUCCAAUUCCAGCCACAACUCCAUCCAGAGCUUCCCAAUCUACCCUCCCCACUUCAAACCUGCCCAGGGCCAGUUCAGUGCCUCCAUGGGCCAUAUCAACCACAUUGGGGGUUCCCUUGACAGGGCCUCCUGGGGCCCCAGAGACCCCCUGGCAGUGGAGAAAGCACCUCUGUCCUGCAAGAGCAUGGCCACGCUAAGCCUCCUGCAAAGCUCUGGGGAGCCCCCACCCCCCUAUGAGUUCACCUACUCCCUGGAGGACGUGGUGAAGCAGCUAGAGGACCGGCUGCACGAGAAGAGUGGGGAGCUGUGGCAGUUGAAGAGGAGCCUUAGUGAGACUGAAGACCCCUUCACACAGGUUUUUGAGGACAAACAGCAUCUGUGGAUGGAUGCACUGGAUGAGCUGAAGCAGAUGUAUGUCACCAAGCUGCAGCAGGUGACCCAGCAGGCCCAGCGCAGCCAGCGGGCGCUGCAGCUGCAGGUCUACAAAGCGCAGCAGGAGAAGAAGCGGCUGCAGGAGGAGCUGAGCCUGCACCAGGGCCAGUGUGAGGAGCUGAGGCAGUGGCAGCAGCAGUGUGAACGUGUCAGCCCCAAACUAGAAGAGACCAGGUGGGAGGUUUGUCAGAAGGCAGCUGAGAUCUCACUGCUCAAGCAGCAGCUUCGAGACUCCCAGGAGGAGAUGGCCCAGAAACUCAGUGAGAUCUUCAGCUUGAAGACUCAGCUGCGGGAGGCCUGGGCGGAGGUGCAAGCCAAGGACUUGCAGCUGGCCCAGCUAGGGGACUCCUUCCAGGCCCCACCAGAGCCCAGCUCCUCCCUCCCUUUGGGGGAUGCUCCCAUGCCAGUCUGCCAGGACUUCUCUGGCUGGGAAACUGACGACUCCAAGUGUUGGGGUCUUCACAGUGAGAGUGGGGAGCCCCCAGAGAGGCAGGUGGAGUGGCUGUGGGCAGAGCUGCUGCGCGAGCGGCGCCAGGGCCAGCUGCAGGCUGUGAACUUUGAGCUGGAGCGGAAAACCUGGCAGGAGGAGAAGGAGAAAGUGCUGCGCUACCAGAGGGAGAUCCAGGCAAGCUACAUGGAGAUGUACCAGCGCAGCCAGGCUUUGGAAAGGGAGCUGCAGCACCUGCGGGCUGAGCCCAGAGAUGCUGACGCCGACUCACCCUGGAUCGAGAGAGUCGAGUCUUCAAAAAUCUGAAUGGGAAGCCAGCAGCCUGGACUGGGAAGGGGCAAGAGCUCUUGGGAUGUACCCAGGCUGCACCAUGGACUGACUGGGUUAGCCAAGGGGGCUUCUCCAUCUCAGACUGAUGAAUCUGUGACUACUGCAGGCCCAUCCCUGUGCGAGUCUCCAGAGCAAGUGUUACUUCUGCCUCUGCAGCAGGGGCAUGUGCUCCAACAGCCACCUUUUGGCAGGGCGAGUUUGCACCAUGAUUCUUACUGUCCAGCAAACAGAAGCCCAGCAUCAAGUGGGAUUUCCUGUUCCUCCUCCCUCAUGCCCUGCUGCUUCCUACCCCAGUGAGGGCUCUGGCCCUGCUAGGGAAAUGCCAAACUUCCUCUCCUUAUGCUGUCCAAGCUGCAUGCCUGCCAGUCUUGCUCCAUGUCCUUCACACUGUGCUGGGGCCAAUGGGCAGUCCAGCCUGAGGGCUGCAGGCAGAGUAAACUGCCUGUGCUGGGUGCCCAUGCAGAUAGCCUGGCCUUGGGCUUGAGGCCUGGGAAAUGUGAAACAUGGAUGCUGGGAGCACUUCCUACCAAGGCUAGAGCUGCCCUGGCACCUGGCUCUGCUGGAGUAUCUGCAGCAGGAGAAAAGGAGUGACUAUAGAGCUCAUGCCACGGGGGACAGGUGCAGAGGCUUUGCAUGCCACCCAGGGCUGUGACCUCUGCGUUGGGGCUUCUCAUGCUGCUUCAGAGAUAGAGAAGAGCUGGGUCGCUAUCCUGCCAUAGAGAAGGGGAGAUGGAAAGCGGCUCUUGCCAGAGAGCAUGCACCAUCACUCAGGCCUAUCCUCGCCCCCUGCCCAGCCGACUUCUGGGUAUGAAGCUUGCCUCACCCAAAUGAGCAGAGCCUUCUUUCACCAGGAGGCAGGCUGUGGAUUGGUGCUGAGGGGUGGGCAGGGGCUGGCUAACACCAUGGGGUGGGGCAGGGGGGCUGGGUGCUCUGGAUAUGAAGGUCCAGGCCUGGCAAGGCUCUCCUCAGCCUCUCCUGGAAUAAAUCUGAAUUUGGUACUUCUGGCUCCUGUGGUUGCUUCUUUCUCUCCCUCCAUGGGGGGUGACCCCAGCAGCUGUCCCUGGAUGUUCACGUGCGUGAGUUACAGGCCUCCCAGCUGACAAUAUAGGGCAGCAGUGAAGCUGGUAUUUGUUCUACACUCCAGGAGGUUGCUGCAGCCAAAGCUCCAUUUGCUGCUGACCAGGGAGGUUGAGCAGAAGGCAGGAGAGUCUAGGAAGAGGAGCAGUGCUCCCAGCGUGGGGACCAUGGGCCCAGUUUCUGAGGAUGAUGCUCCACAUGGCCUGGCCCCCGGCUGCCCAGGGCUGGGCCCCAUCCACAGGAGCUGCCUGCUCCAUUGUCCAUGUUCCUGCUGGAGUGUGGGGCUCUGGUUUGUCUCUAAUGGGCUGGCAGUGACAUGCUGCUUUUUAAGGUCAGACACAAGCCCCCAGAAGCAGUCCUGGUGCAGCGCCACUUGCCUCUCCCAACUGCAGGUUAUUUGACGGGUGGAGAGGAACCAAACUGGCUUCCUAGAGUUGAUCUACUCAGUUCUGCUGGACACAGGUGCUGCUGGGCUGGCAGGGUCAAUCUCUCUGCCCUCGUCCUGGCAGCACCCUCUCAACUCUGCUUGGAAUUGAAAUACACAAGAUGCCAACAGCUCUAGUACCCUCAACCACUGGCCAGUGUCUCCUUUUAAAUCACCUCUUGUCAUGGUGGUGCCUG